UUUGAUGAAGUUUUCGGAUGGAUUUAAAACAGCUUAGUGGCGGACGGGUGAGUAACGCGUGGGUAACCUGCCUCAAAGAGGGGGAUAACAGUUGGAAACGGCUGCUAAUACCGCAUAAGCGCACGGUAUCGCAUGAUACAGUGUGAAAAACUCCGGUGGUAUAAGAUGGACCCGCGUCUGAUUAGCUUGUUGGUGAGGUAACGGCCCACCAAGGCGACGAUCAGUAGCCGGUCUGAGAGGAUGAACGGCCACACUGGAACUGAGACACGGUCCAGACUCC
rnacentral:rRNA from 2 species